rnacentral:misc_RNA from 1 species
CGCACCUUGCGCUCCUUGGUAUUCCGAGGAGCAUGCCUGUUUGAGUGUCAUGUUAAUCAUCAACCAUUGGUUUUUCUUGGAAUCAAUGGAUUGGACUUGGAGGUUGCAGACGCGAGUCAGCUCCUCUCUAAAUGCAUUAGCUGGAUCGUCAAUGGUUCUAAUUUGGUGUGAUAGAUUAUCUACGCCUGUGACGAGCUGUUGUUCGGCUUCUAAUCGUCCGUCCUCGGACAAUACACUUUAAUAUCAGACCUCAAAUCAGGUAGGACUACCCGCUGAACUUAA